CCUACGGGAGGCAGCAGUAAGGAAUAUUGGACAAUGGCCGCAAGGCUGAUCCAGCCAUCCAGCGUGCAGGAAGAAGGCCCUAUGGGUUGUAAACUGCUUUUGUCAGGGAAGAAACCUUUGGAUUUACUCCGGAGCUGACGGUACCUGAAGAAUAAGGAUCGGCUAACUCCGUGCCAGCAGCCGCGGUAAU
rnacentral:rRNA from 1 species